rnacentral:lncRNA from 1 species
ACGGCAAGGGCUGCUGGGGCUGCCCCGGGGCACACAGGAAAAUCCAAACAAACUAACGAGAAACCGGUCAAUAUUAUCUGAUUUAAAACUGCCACUGAGCAACAGAUUUUUGUCUCUUUCCUUCUCUUUUUUGUCUCUUUCUCAUUUUUUUUCUUUUUCCUCUUCUUUUUUUCAUCUUCUUUUUCUCUUUUUCCUCUUCUUUUUCUCUUUUUCCUCUUCUUUUUCCACUUCAUUUUCCUCUUCUUUUUCUCUUCCUUUUCUCUUCUGUCUGCAUCUGGGUUCAUGCUGACAAAACGAACCAGGAGAUUUGGAAAAGAAAAGGAGGGAAACUCACCUCCCCCUCAAUAUCUUUAAGUCGUCCUGCAGUUUUAAAUUUAGAUGGGCAGAAUUAAUUUUGUUGCAUAAAGUUGGCUCUUAAUAGAUGAGGAAGUAAAUACACAUCUUUUUCUUCACAGGUGUUGUACCAAUGAACAAGAAUAUCCAGGAAUUAAGAAGAAUCACAAAUGAGUUUGAAAAUUGAUGGCAAAUUGAGAUUUGAUUUACUGAUUCACUCAGACUGAUGAUUCAAAGUGACACCACAUCCUCAGGAAUGGAGCAAAUAAUCCAUUUUCUGCUUCUCUCAGAAAAGUGGAGAUGUGCAGAAGAGGCUGCAUGAAGCAUGAAGUGGACUUGUGGAAUUUGUUGGGACACCAGUUCCACCAUUAGAAGAAAAAAACUGAAAAGUGCAAAGGAUGAGAAAGAAGCCAGAAUAUGUGAAAUGGAGGCCAGGCUGAGGGAGAUGGAAAAGGUUCAGCUGGUUAGCACAUGCACCAGGAGGCUCCAGGCACUGAAUGAUGCAAAACUGGAAAAAGCUGAGCUCCUGCAGGAUCUCCAGGCUGGCCAGAGGGACCUAGCUGGCCUUGCAGAAGCUUUCCAAGCUGGACAGUUUGAAGGAAGAACCAAUGCAGCAUCUAAAGAGGAUUCUUCAAGAAUUAACAGGCUCUGAUGGUGACAUUCCCUCAGUGGAUUUCAGCAGCCAUGGUGGGAGAAAAUUCCCUUUAACAACCAUGAAGAAUGCAGUGUAAGAAGAAUAGAUUUAUUUCUGUUGUGUGCUGUGUACUUACAGUGCCCUCUGAAACUGGGAUCUGGCUCUUGGUGUGCUUCAGGAGCUGUGUGGGAUGUGUUUUUGCAAGAGGAUUGGGUUUACACGUAAACUUGAGAUAAUCUGGAAGCUCCUGUUUUUUGCCAGGUUCCUCAGAUGCCUUAGGUGGUAGGGAAAUAGAAGGUGACCACACCAUUUGCCUUUAGUGCUAUUUUUUUUUUUUUUUUUUUUUUUUUUUUUUUUUUUUUUUUUUUGAAGGGGGGGGGGGGGGGGGGGGGGGGGGGGGGGGGGGGGGGGGGGGGGGGGGGGGGGGGGGGGGGGGGGGGGGGGGGGGGGGGGGGGGGGGGGGGGGGGGGGGGGGGGGGGGGGGGGGGGG